rnacentral:rRNA from 1 species
UACGGAGGGUGCGAGCGUUGUCCGGAAUCACUGGGCGUAAAGGGCGCGUAGGCGGCCCGGCAAGUCUGUGGUGAAAGCUCAGGCUCAACUCUGAGUCGGCCACGGAUACUGCGGGGCUCGAGCACGGUAGAGGCAGGUGGAAUUCCGGGUGUAGCGGUGGAAUGCGUAGAGAUCCGGAAGAACACCGGUGGCGAAGGCGACUCACUGGACACGUAUUGACGCUGAGGUGCGAAAGCGUGGGAGCAAACAGG